GCGGAGGAUCAUUAAUGAUUAACUGUCUGUCGAGCUUGCUCACAGACUUAUCAUAUCCAUAACACCUGUGCACUUGUCGGAUGGCUUAGUGAAGACCGCAAGGUUGGAACUAUCCAUCUACUUUACAUAACAAUUUAGUAACAAAUGUAGUCUUAUUAUAACAUAAUAAAACUUUCAACAACGGAUCUCUUGGCUCUCGCAUCGAUGAAGAACGCAGCGAAAUGCGAUAAGUAAUGUGAAUUGCAGAAUUCAGUGAAUCAUCGAAUCUUUGAACGCACCUUGCGCUCCCUGGUAUUCCGGGGAGCAUGCCUGUUUGAGUGUCAUGAAAACCCUCAACCUUAGAUUGGUUAACACCUUUCUUUGGCUUGGAUUUGGACGUUUGCCGAUGAUAAGUCGGCUCGUCUUAAAAGUAAUAGCUGGAUCUGUCUCGCGACAUGGUUUGACUUGGCGUAAUGAGUAUUUCGCUAAGGACAUCUUCGGAUGGCCGCGUUGCAAGACUAAAGACCGCUUUCUAAUCCAUUGAUCUUCGGAUUAAUAUUCUUGACAUCUGGCCUCAAAUCAGGUAGGACUACCCGCUGAACUUAAGCAUAUCAAUAAGCGGAGGAA
rnacentral:rRNA from 1 species